rnacentral:rRNA from 1 species
UACGUAGGGACCGAGCGUUGUCCGGAAUCAUUGGGCGUAAAGAGCGUGUAGGCGGCCACUUAAGUCCUGCGUGAAAUCCUGCGGCUCAACCGCAGGCGGUCGUGGGAAACUGGGUGGCUAGAGUGCGGGAGAGGAGAGUGGAAUUCCUGGUGUAGCGGUGGAAUGCGCAGAUAUCAGGAAGAACACCGGUGGCGAAGGCGGAUCUCUGGGCCUGUCCUGACGCUCAGGCGCGAAAGCUAGGGGAGCAAACAGG